rnacentral:rRNA from 1 species
UACGAAGGGGGCAAGCGUUGUUCGGAAUUACUGGGCGUAAGGGCUCGUAGGCGGCCAACUAAGUCAGACGUGAAAUCCCUCGGCUCAACCGAGGAACUGCGUCCGAUACUGGAUGGCUUGAAUCCGGGAGAGGGAUGCGGAAUUCCAGGUGUAGCGGUGAAAUGCGUAGAUAUCUGGAGGAACACCGGUGGCGAAGGCGGCAUCCUGGACCGGCAUUGACGCUGAGGAGCGAAAGCCAGGGGAGCAAACGGG